GAGAGAGGCUCGUAGCAAUCAAGACUGCUAAUCUUCAUGACCUUAGUUAGACUCUAGGGCUCACUCG
rnacentral:tRNA from 1 species